rnacentral:lncRNA from 1 species
UAAAUAAAAAUAACAUUAAACUACAAUACAAAAAAAAGAAAGACAAUUUCAAACCUAACACUCCGAAACUUUAAUAUAUAAAAUUGACAAUUUUUAACGAUCGGUAUGAAAUACUUGCUAGUUUAACGGUGUAAAAGAAUCGAAAUCAGUUAAAUUUUUGAUAGAAAAUUCUAUUCACUACUUAAAUAAAGAUCAGUAACUCCGAUCUUAAAUUAAAGUAUCCAAUCAUUCAUUUUGAGGACGUCAUUCGAUUUUGACCAUUCAUUUUAUGCCCGCUUGAUGGACUUUAUUAUGAUUUCGAAAAAUUACAAAAUUUAUUUUUUAGAAGUUUCAAAUAUUCUAGAUCAUAUUUAACAGAAUGGAUUGUCGAUUCGACAGCUCUAUCAUCGAAAAUAACUUAUGAGUACGAAUGGUCCAAUACUCAUAAGAGUAUAGUAACCCUACUCUCUCUCUAUAUAUAUAAGUAGACUGUAAUAUUAUUAAUAGGACCAAUGACUUAGUGCUAUUAAGUUUUCUGCCUUUAGAUUAAAAUAUGUACGGUUAGGAUGAUGUGGGCCUUCUAGAGUUGAGUUGGUUGUUAGUUGAAUAGUAUAAUCGAACGGAUGAAAAUAAUAACAAAAGUAAAUCUAACGGCAUAAAACUUAAUAGCAUCAAAUGCUUUGUGCUAUGAAUAGUAUCCCAGCCGGACUAUAUAUAU